GGUCCAAACUUGGAGUAAGGUAGAUUAGUAAGGCCAGCUGAUUCUACUAUUCUACUGUACUUCGAAAUAGGGCCU
rnacentral:pre_miRNA from 1 species